AUUAAAAUCGGUGAAGUUCGAAGGGAGACGCGACGGUAUCAUCGUGAUUUCCCAAACGUCGAUUCGAUCGGUAUUCUGUUGAAUUUGAAUUUUUUUUUCAAAGUAAAAUAAUCCCCUUUCGUAACGAUAAAAGGCGCGCUAACGAACCGAAAUUAUUUUUCUACUUUUAAUAUGUAACCUAUGCGUCUUUUUUUCUUCUCAUGAAUCACUUUCAUAUUGAAGCUAUCUCUUCAUUGUUGCACAUACGAUUAGUCAUUAAUUUAAUCAUCCAGAAUUAUGAAACGUAUUUCUCUCCUUAUCUUAGUUUCUACUCUCACAAUAGGAUCGACGUAUUCCAACAUAUUCCGUACUAUUGUCAUCAUACUAUAUCGAGAUUAUGCGCCAUAAUGAUCCUUAUUAACGCGAUAUUAGUACACGUAUCUGGUGAGUUGCACGCGUUGUGAUUAGCGCACAGACCUGUUUGUCCCUGGCUGUCAACUCGACUCUCUCUCUCUCUCUCUCUCUCUCUCUCUCUCUCUCUUUAGAAGUUUCGCGACAAAAUGCCUUUUGUCGAUCGCUGUAGUGGCAAACAUGCGUUUAACUUGGCGAGCUUCGUUGCAUCGAGACCGACAGAGUGAGAGAGAAGUGGCUGAGGCGCGGCAGACGAUGGAAGGGGACUGGAUGGACGACAAGGGUCAGCUGAUAGCGGACAAUUAUCUCUCAGUUUAACCCGAGCGAUCCGUGCCUCUAGCCGCGAUGUUGUAAAACAUUAUUGUACGCAGUCGGUCGAUCGUCCUGGGAAAUCAGCUUUCGUGAAAUAUUCGAGGAAACGGGUGUUUGCGGUUAAUCGAACUUUCCUUUGCAUGUCAGUGACGAUAAAAAAUACCGUAUACUUGGUGCUUUUUAAUAUGACCGUGUUUAAAAAUGUUCAAAAUUGAUAUAUCACGUUGGACGUUUUCAUCGAAGUUUCAAAUCUAAUUUGGAUGUCUUAUACGAUGGAUGACACGAUCCAGAAAACAGCUGGCCUGAGAGCGAAGGUCGCCGGCCAUGGAAUAUAAUUAGUCCGCACCACUUAUGGAACGUCAGGCCAGCUAUGGGUACACUGUACGCUGAAACGCUCACGCUAGUCGUCACAAGAUCUACUUGGAAAUCGGCCUUUGUCCAACACGUGUGUCCACGGACAGCUUUGUUUCCUUCUUAAAGCGACUCCUUCGUUCUACCGUUUGGAUCGUAUGUCACGAAAGGAACGUCAGGAAAUGACUUGCGCAUUGAUGAUCAGUAUCGGUAAAUCUUUCAAGAGUAAUCAACUUUUUUUCCAGGAACUUCCAUGGACUUCCUCUGUUCCUUUAAGGGAUCCUUAGCGAGUCGGUUGUUCGACGAAGCCUUGGACGAGCCUUUGGAUUUUCCAAAUAGCAGAUAACCGAUGCCAGAGUACAUAGUAAUUACGACAGCUGUAAUUGCCGGUGUAUUAGCCGUUGCAAAUGUCGAACGUGCCAACCACAAGGUUUCCCUCGUAAACCUGGGGGAAGAAGAUCGUCCAAUUAACUGUCUCGUUUAAUUGAAUCUUAUUUCCUUUUCGCUUGGUCCAGUUCCAUCGGGGCUUCCGCGUUUAAUCGCGCAAGCCGAACGCAAUGCCUAGAAGAACAACCACGGACAAAAGUAAUUUCAGCCUCCUCCUGGUAAAUCACGGGACGAUUUAUUGUACGAUAGAAAAGACAGAGUUAAAUGGAACAGCAUUUUUGUGGUAGUCGUUGGUACUUCAGCCUUCGACAGCUCGCAAAUUGUCGUCGAGAGCCGCUCGAAUUUCGUGAAAACGGACCAUACCACGUUUAAAUGCCCGUCCAGACACGGGGUAUUCUUUCGAAUUUUUCAGACAAUUCGUUUUGCGGCGGAUGCCACGAGGGAGAGAACAGCAAGCAGAAACGAAGUAGUGGAGUUUCGGGAAUCAAGGGGAUGCGGGGAGCAAUUCCCCGGGACGAGUCGAGGUGGAGGUGCAGGUAUUCUUUUUAAGGCGGAACACUUUACCGUUGCUCGUUCCACGCUGGUAAUGGAGAAUCUCCCAGCCACCCCAAGGAAUUAAUUCGGGGCUAACGCCGAGACACUCCCCGAUAUCGAGUCACUUCGUUCCACGGGCCAAUGUUAGUAUCUGCUUACCACCCUCUCGGUUAGCUUUUCACCGUACUUAGCCAUUUCGACUCCUUCUUUUCUCUUCUUGUUCAGCGAAACGAUUUCUAAUUUGUCCUCUAAUUUGUCCAAGAUCCUCGAAUCCGUUUCACUGGGUCACUUGGAAAAAGGAAAGAAAGAGGGUAGAGAAAAAAAAAAAGUUAAAAUGUUCUCUGUAUCUUUUUUCGCCUCUUACGUCCACUGGCUGCAUCUGCGUACGUAUUCGUCGGAUAUUUGGCUGCGAUUUUUGCCAUCAAUUGUGCGCUUAAGCAGUCGUAGUAGCCCUUUAUUGCCAGGAUCGCGGUCUCCAAGAUGAAAAGCGAACUCCUGGCGAGCUUCCACCAGAAUUAAGAGACACUCGAGGCGCUUUUUAAUUAGCACGAAAGGACAUCAUCGGGGAGAGUCAGAGCUUCGUUCUAAAUACGUAAUUAAAGCCGUGAAUGGGGUAGUUACAGUAACUGCGUGAAGCGUCAUCGACUGCCAGUGAAAUCGGCCGGAAAACGCACUCUUUCGGAAGCGUGCUGGCGCAAUUCCUCUUCCCACGUCCUCUCAAAUACUCAUUCUCAUAACUUUAUCUAUAUUUACGCGUGAAGCAUCUUCGUCGUGAAUGCAAAUCUUUCAGAAAUUUGUUUACAUUCUCUCAUCGAGGAAGCAUCACGGUGGCAUCCCUCUUUCACGAUACAAAGCACGUGUUAUUCGCCGCUUCGCAUUUCUCUAAAAUUCUUCCAGCGUAAGUAACAUCCCUGCCCUUCAAAAAUCUGGAAAAUUCCGCAAGAAAAUCAGAAUCUGCCAUUCGAAAACUUCCCGCAACCCCUAACUUUGCCUACGCCUACUUUAUGCGUGAAAUUUAUUUCAUAGACGCAAAUCUUCUAGAUUCUCGUACGAAGGAGAAAUCACGGCAGGAUUUUCUUCACGAUGCGAAACACGUGUCGUUCGCCGCAGAAUCUGCCUGUCUAUGGAAUUCUUCGAGUAUAAUCUCUCCCCUUCUGACGAAAAUUCAGAGGAUUCCGAAGAAAAGCAAAAAAUCGAAAUUCGAAAGCCUGGUGUUUGAGUAAGUACACACAGGAUGCCUUUGAAAGCAUCUUCGGGCGCACGAAGCGCGCGCGAAAGAGAUGAACGAGAUCGGGGCGCGAGGUCGAGGGAGGCUGGCACAGCUUGAAAGGGAGGGGGAGAACCCGAGGGCCGAGAAAGAGAGGGAAAUUCAAAGAUGGCGCCACGCGUAUGCCCGACAGAGAUAAAGCACAAGGGUUAAAGAAAGACGUGCACUUUCGUUGGCUUCCCCUCUCACGGCGACGAAGAGUGACCGGGCCGAGAAGUCCGAAUCCGAUCGUGGAACGGCUCAGUAGUGCGCGAGACACAUUUCCCGACGCGUGUUCGUCGCUCGUAUCGAUAUCUCUCGAUGAUUCACGAGCGUUGCGGCGAGAAUACGCGGCGACCAAUCCCCAGUUCCGUUACAUCAGCAUCCGACUACGUGGGUCCUCGACGAUUGGCUCUCUCUGCGCUGUGCUCGAAUAUCUCUCUCUAGCAACCAGAAAGGGAGAAAAAGAGAUGCACUCGUAUAUUUUAUACUCGCGAUUCUGGCUUAUUCUCGUACGAGAUACAGCGUGAUCUGUUCGCUGGAGAAUCGUGCGUGCUUUUCGUGAAACGAGAAAUUACGAGCUUUCGACGAAGAGGAAACGUUAGCGAGAAUUCAACCAACAGCCGAGCGAUGGAGAAAGGGAAGAAAGGGGGAGCAGAGCAGAGCAGAGUAAGAGGGUAUUUUGGACGCAGAUCGAUCGGUCGCGGCCGCUCUCCGGUUCACGCCAUGUGACCGGUCAAAGACCAGUCUGCAUAGGAAAAGAGGUUAGAAAACUUAUCCGUUGUCCUUGCGCGUACGGUGGCCGCGUGGUGUUACAUCCGUUCGUUAAUCGAGAAAAUGAGAGGUGUCGAAUAGCUUGACGUUGUCAGUAGCGCGCGGACUAGUGAACGAUUCGGUUGUUUUUCAUAAAGUGUGCAUCGGUCGCCUUAGUUGUAUAGUGGCGGUCUUCGAAGAACGCGAUCGCGAGGGAAAAGAGAGCAGCGGAGUUUGCUACGAGAGUGUGUAGUUGUCUCGGGUCAGAUGUAAAAAUAAAAGGAAGCAGACGUGUCUCAAGGCUAUCGCGCCGCAUAUUGUCUCGCCAGGAGCGUAAAAUCACGCGAGAGUCUCCCUGCAUGCCGUUUAUUUCAUUCCGCCGAUAUCCUCCGAUGUAAGCGCGCGCAUCCUCUUAUCAUCGUUUUGCUCGUAUACUUGCACGGUUUACACGCGAGAGUGUUACUAAUAUAACCCGCUUUCCGAGUGGAGCUUUUGUUCAGUGUCACGAGUUCUUCGUCGCUUGAGAAAAAUCGCGCGCUUUAGGAAGGAAAUAAAUUAUAUCACGGUAGUUUAAGUAAUUAAAUGUCAGUUAAAUAUAAUGUAAAGCGUAUAAUAUGUAUAUAUGGGAUUAUAAUAUUAAUUCCUCUUGUUUUUAUAUUUGUUACCGUAAAAAAUACAAAAAAAACAGGACGAAUUUAUGUUACAACCGAGUAGUAUAAUACAAUGUAAGGAUUAAUUCCAUCAUUGAUAUAUUGGGAAACAACGAAACGUAUUUUUCGUUUAUUUCGCUUUCGAUCUCUUCUCUCGUGAUAUCUCGAUUCCGGUGAGACAAAAAGAACGCGGUUUGGAACAAAUGCAGGGUUCGUCCGUGCGUGAAAUUCUACGAGGUUCGUUCUGAGAAAGAAAUCAGCUCGAAGAAAAAUAAAUAAACGUGUGUUGCUUUUCUGCAUUCGUUCGAUAUAUUGUUAGCACUUUUUCGAGGAUUCGUUUGUGACAAAACUUCACUAUCUUAUACAUAUAGCAAAUAUUUAUGUAUUUAACCGCUUUAGGGCCGAUAGUUGGUAAAAUAUUGGUUUCAGGAAGAUAAUGCGAUCUACUAAGAUCUAUCUCUUCAUGGAAUCAUAAACUUUGAAAAGCACGUGUGCUCGGGCCACGUGUUCUGUAACCUUACAAAAGAAUUUUCUGUGGGCUUUUGAAUCUUCCUUUAUUCCUUUUCUUCGUUCACGUUCUUCAUGCUAAUAGUAAGCGAGGCACGAAUAGUUUAUUUCUUUUCACUCGAUUAGGAGUAUGUUAAAACAUUUUCUUUCGGGCUUCAAGUUUUUCUUUUUUUUACAAAUGAUAAAUGAUAUUGUUAGAAAAUUAAUUUAUAUUAACGACCAAACGUGGGACACUGUUACGUACAUUAAAACAGUAAGAGGCAUUUCUUGAACGAUUAAAAUAACAAGCCAACGUUAGGAGCUACAUGUUAUGGCGUGUAUCGAGGCAGAUAACGUGUGCUUAUCUAGAAAAGCAGAAUUCGUCUGCCGAAACCUUGAGCAUUUCCUAUUAACCUCUAUAUUUAUUUAUUAAAGAUUUAUUAGAGCUUACUGAAUUAUGAUUCUCACUUAUUUUUCUAAGAAGAAUCAGAAUAUAUAGCAUGACGUAGUAAAAAUUAUUCUUCUUCUCUCCUCACAGUUACCAUUCAGUUGACAAAUUUCUCGGAGAACUCCGCCGGAUUAAAAAGAGAAUUCAACAUACGGGUUAGUACUCCGCGAGAGGUUAAAAUGUUUGCGAUAGAAUUGCGACAGUCAUUGAAGUCAGCGAGGAAAUUGAAGCCCAACGAGACGGAUAAGUGGGUCGCAUUCGCUUUCUGACUGCUGAUUUCUGAAUUCACUGUCGCUGUUGCGAAUCGACGUCAAUGAGAUCGAUAUCAAUUAAGCCACGGGCCGUUGAUCGCUGGAAACCCCAUAAAUGGCAAUCUGCUUACACCGGUAUUUCCUGGGAAUGUCUAACACACACUGACCAAGUGCGUUUAGACACAAUCUAUAUAUUUCCUUCACAUUUUACUAAAAAAAAGGGAGGGGGGAGAAGAAAAACUCUGAAUUUUAACUCUUACUUCAUUUACUUUAUUUUAUUUUAUUUCAAAAAUUAAUGUGGCGUGUUUGAAGACAUUAUGUGAUCUUUUUAGAGACUAUUAGCAUAUAGCGCGUAGAAUUAAGUACGUGAAGCUAUCUGGAAACUACGUUUCUAUCAUUUCCCAUGGAAACGUGGUAUUCACGGAAAACACGAUCUGUAUCAACGAUUCCCUGAGGGCAUCGAAAACGAAAGAAACUGGUCAGUCUGGACCAAGGUUAGAAGAUUGCUCGUGUUGUAUAAUAGCCACGCGAGCUUGAUUCAGGGCCGUAAAACUCGGGAACUCGCGAGGGGAGACGUGGUCUAUUUCUGUGCACACGUUGAAAGCGGAAAACGUAGAAGCGUUAGAACGACAUGCCUAGUUGGAACCAUAAUUGACACUCUUUUUAUCUUUCAUCGUCGAGCUAAACAAACUUUUCAGAUAAAAUACUAGCUUAAUUCCUAGUUCAAUUUGAACCAACCAAUUAUCGAUACUGCUUGUAUUUUGUAUAAUUCAUGUUUUUUUUUCCAGAAAGAUGUAGAACAGGUUCUUUCAAACAUCAUCAUUUUUGUUCUUAAUAUGCUUCUAAAGUUUGAAAUGAAGUUCAGUUUCUUUCAACUAUUGCUCGACUCGAAAAAGAGAGAAUUUGUUACAUUAUAUUUCUAAUUAUUAUUUACAUGUAAACGUUUUAUUUUCUAUUAAGUAUACUCUGGAGAAUUCAAGUAACUUGAUGGAUCUGAACGAGAUUUAGAAAUGAAAUUCUCAAUGCUCUUUACAAAUUUUCAAUGGACUACCGGAUACCAAUAUUUAUAAAAAUAUUACAUUAACAAAAUCCACUUUCUUUCGUUUCGCCAUCGAUAUUCACGAACUGUCGUUCUUUUUGCCCCCUCGCGUUCAUUCUCAAUGUGUGUCCCUUAGUUUACUUUUUCCUGCAUCUCCAGAUGCAACCGGAGAAUCCUGCAGCUUUUUCAUAAGCGAUAAGGUUCUCGUUGGAAUACGAAGAGCAGAUACGUUUUGCCUAACUCGCUCGCCUCGGUUAUCGAAGAACCGGCUUAUCGACGUAGGAGAGCCGUUGGUAUUUGCCGAGUAUAACCGAUAAUUCAGUUACAUUUCACUUGGCCCGUUGUGUUCUGGACACGUGAGUCAUCGGUGUGACUCAAGGGGACGGAAAUCUUGUUUGUCGAAAAAGCACAGGCCUUUUUCAUCGUGUUUCACGGUUUCGAUAUCUCUGUUUGAUGACCGCUGUUGUCGUAUUCUGCCGAAAGAGAGACACGUACAAACUCGCUGACAAAAUACCAGAUCGGUGACGAACUAAGUCGGCACAUUCUACAUAAUCAAAGGAUAAACAUAAAUUUCUCUGUUGAUUAGAUAAAGUUACGCGAUAAUAUGCGUUCAUCAUUCAGAAUGUCAGGAGACCAUCAAUUACUUACUUCUAUCAAUGUCUGCCAUUCAUUGGAUUCUUUUUGAGGAAAGGGGAAUGGUUAUAGCAAUAUAUAGAAUGAAACUUAUGUAACCAGAGGGUAACUGUUAGUAAUAUGCUCGAGGAGUAGAUAGAAGAAUAUUCUUUUUUAGAAUUCACAGGAAAUCACGCGAAGAUUGGAUACCAGGCGGCAAAGGAAGUUUUUGGUAGCCUCGUGUCGAGGCGUUUCGUGCCCAAAGCCCCUUAUCAUUCUCCUGUCCGGUGUAGAAUUGUUAGACGACUGGACGGAGAACUGAUAAGGGCCCGAGGGUCACAGAAUCAUCGUGAGAUUUCUUGCAACGCUAAAUGUGGAUGAAAAACUGUGGAAUCAAUUGGGAAAACUUCAUAAUUUAAAUUUUGUAUAAUUUUUCAACGAUGAACAGUAAAAUUUAACAUACUUUUAAUAAAAUUGAACUGCUGAUUAGAAAAUUUAGGCGUCAUUUUGUUUGAAAAAACAAAUGUAAAGAAAAGGAAAAAGAUUGUUAACAUUUUUGUAAAAGAAAAAAAUAUUUAAGAAACAUUAUUCAGUGUAAGUAGUAGAUGUUCAAAUUAAUUCCGCACCUUUACAUGUAAUCGAUUGUCUGUAUGCGUUAAGUCAAAACCUUUUCCUGGCAUCCUACAUUUUCCAGGUAUUUUGACAUAGAAAACCAGUUUGUAACUCAACGCUGAUAGCUAUGUCGGAGAUUGAGAUGUAUUUUGUCAAUAAACGUCUAAAUUAUGUAAAAAAGCACGAAAUUAAUUGUUAUAUAUCCUAUAUAUCCUAAUAGUUGUUAUAUAUCCAUCUUUUUACAUCUAUGUUAUGUAAACAGUAAAUACAUGUAGGUAUAUGUAUUUUUUGCUUUUUUAUUAACAAGCGAUAAAUAAUCAUAUACAUAUAUUUUCGGAUUAACCGGCAGGAAGGGAAUAGGAAACCUACUGUAUAAUAAAUGGUUGUAAAAUUUAUUCAAUAAAAUACUCGUUAAUUAAUAUAUUUUUCUAGAAUGAUGGAACCAGGUAAAACAGAGUGGAUAAAAAACAUUACCAGAAAAAAUACUCUAUUUAUUAUAAUAGAUAAAUACUUGUAGUAUGAUUUCUUUCACAGACGCACCUGCAGAUAUAUACGCGACCAGGCACUGUGUGAAAAUUGAAAAUUUCCAGGAUGAUACUCUUGCCGUACUUAUUAUGAAACAAUAGUUAGUAUCAAUGCAGCACCUCUGUUCUCUCCUCUCUUGUUUGCUGAUUUAAACCUAAAUGAGUUCAAACACAUUGCGUGAAUAAAAGAGAAUCGUUACGCCUUGUAAUAUGAAACCCACCGAACUCGUGUAAACCGCAGCGCGCGAAAUUUGAAAUAGUCGUAACCCAGUUACGAAUUACGAUGUGCUCGUAAUUCUGCGCCAAUUCCUCACGGAGAAUUAGUAUAACUGAAAUUGUUUAACGACUAUUUACGAUACUUGUCUUUUAUAU